UUUCGGAGCCACUGACACGCUGCACAAUGAUGAUGUCACUGAUUCUACUGCUGGGGACACUUGGGCUCCUUGUUCAGGAAUCAUCAGCGGGCAUAAUUCUGACCCAUUCUGCUAAAUCUCAGUCUGUUCGCCAAGGAGAGACCGUCUCCAUCAGCUGUACAGCCAGUUCAGGCAUUAGUAAUUAUCUCCACUGGUACCUGCAGAAACCCGGAGAGGCGCCUAAACUCCUGGUUUAUUCUGCUUCAACUCGUCAGACUGGGAUUCCAGGUCGUUUCAGUGGGAGUGGAUCUGGUUCUCAUUACACUCUGACCAUCAGUGGAGUCCAGGCUGAAGAUGCUGGAUAUUACUACUGCCAGCAGAGUUACAGCGGGUUUCACAGUGUUAAAGAGCGUCGUACAAAAACCUCCCUCAGCUAAAGAGGAACUGCCCUGACUCAACAGCUGCAGAGCUACAGAGUCUCCUGUAUUCUAAAGUAUUCUAAACACCAUUUCAUCAAAAUAUGACACUACAAUACAAUAAUGGAAUUGGUUAGACUUUUCCAAGGACUAAGAUACUGUACGUAUCUCUCAAUGUAUUCUGCAAAAAUUGAAAUAUUUGUAAACACACUGGGACCACUAAGGGUACAGAGCUGUAGAAAAUGCUUUAUUUUGAAGGAUUUGUUGAACAAAAUUCAGAAUAGGUUUCGAAUUUUUUCAACGUUUUGAUUUAUCUUCAAACACUCCACAGAGCUGGGUUUUACGGCAGAGUGGCCAGAAAAAAGCCAUUGCUUAAAGAAGAAAA